rnacentral:tRNA from 1 species
GGUGUAGCUCAGCGGUAGAGCAGUUGGCUGUUAACCAACUGGUCGGUGGUUCGACUCCAUCACUCCCCACCA